rnacentral:rRNA from 1 species
UGGGGAAUAUUGCACAAUGGGCGAAAGCCUGAUGCAGCGACGCCGCGUGAGGGAUGACGGCCUUCGGGUUGUAAACCUCUUUCAGCAGGGAAGAAGCGAAAGUGACGGUACCUGCAGAAGAAGCGCCGGCUAACUACGUGCCAGCAGCCGCGGUAAUACGUAGGGCGCAAGCGUUGUCCGGAAUUAUUGGGCGUAAAGAGCUCGUAGGCGGCUUGUCACGUCGAUUGUGAAAGCCCGAGGCUUAACCUCGGGUCUGCAGUCGAUACGGGCUAGCUAGAGUGUGGUAGGGGAGAUCGGAAUUCCUGGUGUAGCGGUGAAAUGCGCAGAUAUCAGGAGGAACACCGGUGGCGAAGGCGGAUCUCUGGGCCAUUACUGACGCUGAGGAGCGAAAGCGUGGGGAGCGAACAGGAUUAGAUACCCUGGUAGUCCACGCCGUAAACGGUGGGAACUAGGUGUUGGCGACAUUCCACGUCGUCGGUGCCGCAGCUAACG